rnacentral:rRNA from 1 species
AUUGAACGCUGGCGGCAUGCCUUACACACGCAAGUCGAACGGCAGCACGGGAGCAAUCCUGGUGGCGAGUGGCGAACGGGUGAGUAAAGUAUCGGAACGUGCCCAGUCGUGGGGGAUAACGUAGCGAAAGUUACGCUAAUACCGCAUACGAUCUAUGGAUGAAAGCGGGGGAUCGCAAGACCUCGCGCGAUUGGAGCGGCCGAUAGCAGAUUAGGUAGUUGGUGGGGUAAAGGCUCACCAAGCCGACGAUCUGUAGCUGGUCUGAGAGGACGGCCAGCCGCACUGGGACUUAGAAACGGGCCAAACCUCUACCGGAGGCAGCAGUGGGGAAUUUUGGACAAUGGGCGAAAGCCUGAUCCAGCCAUGCCGCGUGCAGGAUGAAGGCCUUCGGGUUGUAAACUGCUUUUGUACGGAACGAAAAGGUUUGGCCUAAUAAGCUGAGCUCAUGACGGUACCGUAAGAAUAAGCACCGGCUAACUACGUGCCAGCCGCCGCGGUAA